UGGGGAAUAUUGCGCAAUGGGCGAAAGCCUGACGCAGCGACGCCGCGUGGGUGAUGAAGGCCUUCGGGUCGUAAAGCCCUGUCGGGAGGGACGAAACCUCGGUGACCUAAUACGUCACCGACCUGACGGUACCUCUUAAGGAAGCACCGGCUAACUACGUGCCAGCAGCCGCGGUAAUACGUAGGGUGCGAGCGUUAAUCGGAAUUACUGGGCGUAAAGGGUGCGCAGGCGGUCUUGCAAGUCAGAUGUGAAAGCCCCGGGCUUAACCUGGGAAUUGCGUUUGAAACUACAAAACUAGAGUGCAGCAGAGGGGAGUGGAAUUCCAGGUGUAGCAGUGAAAUGCGUAGAGAUGUGGAAGAACACCGAUGGCGAAGGCAGCUCCCUGGGUUGACACUGACGCUCAUGCACGAAAGCGUGGGGAGCAAAC
rnacentral:rRNA from 1 species